rnacentral:rRNA from 1 species
GGAGGGAUCAUUACUGAGUGAGGGCCUUCGGGCUCGACCUCCAACCCUUUGUGAACACAACUUGUUGCUUCGGGGGCGACCCUGCCGUUUCGACGGCGAGCGCCCCCGGAGGCCUUCAAACACUGCAUCUUUGCGUCGGAGUUUAAGUAAAUUAAACAAAACUUUCAACAACGGAUCUCUUGGUUCUGGCAUCGAUGAAGAACGCAGCGAAAUGCGAUAAGUAAUGUGAAUUGCAGAAUUCAGUGAAUCAUCGAAUCUUUGAACGCACAUUGCGCCCCUUGGUAUUCCGAGGGGCAUGCCUGUUCGAGCGUCAUUUCACCACUCAAGCCUCGCUUGGUAUUGGGCGCCGCGGUGUUCCGCGCGCCUCAAAGUCUCCGGCUGAGCUGUCCGUCUCUAAGCGUUGUGAUUUCAUUAAUCGCUUCGGAGCGCGGGCGGUCGCGGCCGUUAAAUCUU